rnacentral:tRNA from 1 species
GAGGAGGUAGCAUAAAAAGUGUGUCUUGUUUACACCAAGGCGGUGGCCAGUGGGCCUUUUCUCU